rnacentral:lncRNA from 1 species
UAUAAGAGGGUAUGGUUUGGGUGUGGUCUGUUGGGAGACUACUGAUUCAGAGUACUGAUUGUACUUGUUUGUCUUUAACUCCAUCAGCAAUUCAGCAUUCAUUUUGGAGUUCCUAUUGAAGUACAGAAACUAAUAUUAAAAGGAAAGACUCUUCAGGGGCGUAUCCAGAAACUUGAAAAGGAAGGUGCUGAGGGCGCACAAAGUGCACUGUAAUUUUGGCCACACCCCUUUUUGCGGCGGUAAAAAGGCGUUUUCCUUCAUUUUUGUGAAUUACGGGUGGGAUCAAAAUUAUUUUAAGCAUCUAGUACUUCUGACAACUUCUGAUUGCUCCUGAAAGCACUGGAAACUGCUGAAAUAAUGAUCAGGGGGCUAGAUAACUUUGUUAGGAGGCUUGGUAGUGAUGCAAAAGCCCAGCCAUAAGGGGGGUGCUCAAGCCCCCCUCAGCCCCUGCUGGAUAUGCCCCUGCUCUUUUAGGAAAGAAGAUGAGUUAGUUAGUGAAGCAGGAAUAAACAAUAAUAGCAAAAUAAUGCUAUUGGGAAGAAAGACUGAUCCAGCUCUAGACGAGUGUCUCAAGAAGCUUGAUGAUAUUUUAGAAUCAACAAAUACUAUUGAGAGAAAGAUUAAGAAGAUUGAACAAGAGAUGGAAGGGAUUGAAAAGGUUUCCUGUUUUCAGAGCUACAUGUAGUCUCUGAAUCUUGUGAUAAGUUAUGUUAACAAAGUUUGGCAUGCAAUGAGAAUUUAACAAAGAAUCUAGAGGAACUAGACACUAUAUAUAUGACACCCCCUGAGCAACUGUACUAAUAGAAAAUCGUGGAUUUUUGGAGAGAUCUGCUAAAUUUUUAGGCCAAGAAAAUUUUCCACUAUGACUAUAUGAAUUACAUCUAGGAUUAGGCCAGGGGGCUCAUUCCCUAGCUCAAUACCUUCUGCCACAGAAACUCUCGUGAGAGGAAAGAGAAAUACACUAUAAGUGGUUUUAUACUCAUUUAAUCAUUAAUGGUACUAACUGAUAAGUUAACUGAUAGAAUUCACACUGCAAACACAAUAUAAUUAUUUUUGUUCACUAUACAUGAAUGUCAAUUAAUCUAUGGUUGAUUUCUGUAUUUAUUUUUUAUUCUAAAUAGUUAAUUUGAUGAGAACUUAA